rnacentral:tRNA from 1 species
GGUCAGGUAGCUCAGUCGGUAGAGCAGCGGACUGAAAAUCCGCGUGUCGACGGUUCGAUUCCGCCCCUGACCA